rnacentral:sRNA from 1 species
CGUUGCUUUAAGCAACAUGCCAAUGUCCCAGUGAUCUGAGAGGGGUGCCUUCGGGUGAUCGCACUGCCAAUGCCACCAUAACCUGAGAGGUGGUGCCUUCGGGCGGUACCCCCGUCAACCUUUGAGAAUGGGGAUCGCUGUAAGGUCUCU